UACGUAGGGGGCAAGCGUUGUCCGGAAUCAUUGGGCGUAAAGAGCGCGUAGGCGGCCAGGUAGGUCCGACGUGAAAUCUCGAGGCUCAACCUCGAGCGGUCGUUGGAUACCGCCUGGCUAGAGUCCGGAAGAGGAGAGUGGAAUUCCUGGUGUAGCGGUGAAAUGCGCAGAUAUCAGGAAGAACACCCAUGGCGAAAGCAGCUCUCUGGGACGGUACUGACGCUGAGGCGCGAAAGCGUGGGGAGCGAACAGG
rnacentral:rRNA from 1 species